rnacentral:rRNA from 1 species
GGCGAACGGGUGAGUAAUAUAUCGGAACGUGCCCAGUAAUGGGGAAUAACUAGCCGAAAGGUUAGCUAAUACCGCAUACGACCUAUGGGUGAAAGCAGGGGAUCUUAGGACCUUGCGUUAUUGGAGCGGCCGAUAUCUGACUAGCUUGUUGGUGGGGUAAAAGCCUACCAAGGCAACGAUCAGUAGCUGGUCUGAGAGGACGAUCAGCCACACUGGAACUGAGACACGGNCCAGACUCCUACGGGAGGCAGCAGUGGGGAAUUUUGGACAAUGGGGGAAACCCUGAUCCAGCCAUCCCGCGUGAGUGAAGAAGGCCUUCGGGUUGUAAAGCUCUUUCGAAAGUGAAGAAAACUUAUUUCGUAAUAUGUUAUAAGUAUGACGGUAACUUUAGAAGAAGCACCGGCUAACUACGUGCCAGCAGCCGCGGUAAUACGUAGGGUGCGAGCGUUAAUCGGAAUUACUGGGCGUAAAGCGUGC